CCAACGGGAGGCUGCAGUGGGGAAUAUUGGACAAUGGGGGCAACCCUGAUCCAGCCAUGCCGCGUGUGUGAAGAAGGCCCUCGGGUUGUAAAGCACUUUCAGUGAGGAAGAACGCCUGGUGGUUAAUACCCAUCAGGAAAGACAUCACUCACAGAAGAAGCACCGGCUAACUCCGUGCCAGCAGCCGCGGUAAUACGGAGGGUGCGAGCGUUAAUCGGAAUUACUGGGCGUAAAGCGCGCGUAGGUGGCUUGAUAAGCCGGUUGUGAAAGCCCCGGGCUCAACCUGGGAACGGCAUCCGGAACUGUCAAGCUAGAGUGCAGGAGAGGAAGGUAGAAUUCCCGGUGUAGCGGUGAAACGCGUAGAGAUCGGGAGGAAUACCAGUGGCGAAGGCGGCCUUCUGGACUGACACUGACACUGAGGUGCGAAAGCGUGGGUAGCAAACAGGAUUAGAUACCCCGGUAGUC
rnacentral:rRNA from 1 species